AUUGAACGCUGGCGGCAUGCCUUACACAUGCAAGUCGAACGGCAGCACGGGAGCAAUCCUGGUGGCGAGUGGCGAACGGGUGAGUAAUAUAUCGGAACGUGCCCAGUCGUGGGGAUAACGUAGCGAAAGCUACGCUAAUACCGCAUACGAUCUAUGGAUGAAAGCGGGGGAUCGCAAGACCUCGCGCGAUUGGAGCGGCCGAUAUCAGAUUAGGUAGUUGGUGAGGCAAAGGCUCACCAAGCCGACGAUCUGUAGCUGGUCUGAGAGGACGACCAGCCACACUGGGACUGAGACACGGCCCAGACUCCUACGGGAGGCAGCAGUGGGGAAUUUUGGACAAUGGGCGCAAGCCUGAUCCAGCAAUGCCGCGUGCAGGAUGAAGGCCUCGGUUGUAAC
rnacentral:rRNA from 1 species